CUUCUCAUAUCUCAAAUCACUUUUGUGCCGUUCGUCUCCUCCCUCUCCUCGCCGUCCGUCUCUUCCUCUUCUCACUUGGUGUUCUCGGUCAGCUUCCGACGGCCAUCCGACGGUCAUCUUCUCCUUCCGAGUUCCGACGGCCAUCCUAACAGCUUAAUUAGCAGUGAUUGUGAUGGCUUCGUCGAGUUCUGACUACUACGACUCCGACUUGGAAUCGGAAGGGAUUUUUGAAGAUUUAAGUGGACAGGAUGCAGGCUACGAGUGGUGCUGCAGUCAUGGGCUCUCUGGAAGUUGCUGUUUGUGGGAAGGGGUCGUGUUUUCCUUCUAAAAGUUCUAGCAUCUGUGUGUUUCCGCAACACAAGAAAAUGAACAUCUUGAAACCCAGUAAAUCCUCCAAGGUUAAAGCAAGCAUGGUUGUGGGGAAGCCAUCAUCUUCUGCUUCUGUCACUGUUCCAGAAAUUGGAGGUGUAAGCCACUUUGUAGACCAUGCCUUGAGUGAAACAGAUCCUGAAGUUCGAAGUAUUAUUGACAAAGAAAAGCAGCGGCAGUUUAAAAGCCUUGAACUUAUUGCCUCAGAGAAUUUUACCUCUCGGGCAGUUAUGGAGGCAGUUGGGUCCUGUCUGACAAACAAAUAUUCAGAAGGAUUACCUGGAAAAAGGUACUAUGGUGGCAAUGAACAUAUUGACGAGCUUGAAACACUCUGUCAACAAAGGGCUCUAGCAGCAUUUCAUUUGGACAAUAACAAGUGGGGUGUAAAUGUUCAACCACUAUCUGGUUCGCCUGCUAACUUUGAGGUUUAUACUGCAGUUCUUAAUCCACAUGAUCGAAUCAUGGGUUUAGACUUGCCUCAUGGAGGACAUUUGUCUCAUGGGUUUAUGACACCAAAAAGACGGGUGUCAGGCACAUCAAUUUAUUUUGAAUCUAUGCCUUAUCGUCUUGAUGAGACUACAGGUAUCGUAGAUUAUGAUAUGCUUGAAAGAACUGCUAACUUGUUUCGACCAAAGUUGAUUAUCGCUGGUGCAAGUGCUUAUCCACGAGAUUUUGACUAUCCUCGCAUGAGAAAAAUUGCUGAUGCUGUUGGUGCUUUUCUCAUGAUGGAUAUGGCUCACAUAAGUGGGCUUGUUGCUGCUUCUGUGGUUGCUGAUCCUUUUGAGUACUGUGAUAUUGUGACCACAACAACACACAAGUCUCUGAGAGGUCCAAGAGGGGGAAUGAUCUUCUUUAGGAAGGAUCCUGUUCUCGGAGUUGACUUAGAAUCGGCUAUUAAUAAUGCUGUGUUCCCAGGAUUACAGGGUGGUCCUCAUAAUCAUACAAUUGGGGGACUAGCUGUCUGCUUGAAGCAUGCACAAUCCCCAGAAUUUAAGGUCUAUCAGAACAAGGUCAUUGCCAAUUGUAGAGCUCUUGCGAGCCGGCUCGUCGAGUUAGGUUAUAAGCUAGUUUCUGGGGGAAGUGACAAUCACCUAGUUCUUGUAGAUCUCAGGCCAUUGGGUAUCGAUGGAGCGCGAGUGGAGAAAAUUCUUGACAUGGCCUCAAUCACUCUCAACAAGAACUCAGUACCUGGUGACAAGAGUGCUUUAGUUCCAGGAGGCAUUCGAAUUGGGUCACCUGCCAUGACUACCCGAGGUUUCACUGAGAAAGAGUUUGCAGCGGUUGCAGACUUCAUCCACGAAGGUGUUAAGAUAACUCUUGAUGCCAAACCACUAGCCCCAGGAUCAAAGCUCCAAGAGUUCCUCAAGUUUGUGACAACUUCUGAUUUCCCUUUAACCGAUCGAGUAUCAGAUCUUCGCUCAAGAGUCGAAGCUCUUACCACCCAAUUCCCAAUUCCCGGCCUGUGAGUUUCUCACUUCAGAGAAGGAAACAGUUAUAAAUUAACAAUAACAAUUCUGACCAAGAAAAGGGGGGAUAAGGUCAGAGAAAAUGUGACUUGUUCUUGAUGGGGACAUGUUUGUGCUGAUUGUAGCAAUACAAAUUAGAUAGUUUGUAACAUUUUAUAAGCUCUGGCAGCGAUGAGGCUUUGGUGGGAACUGUAUCAUCAUUGAUAAAUUUUAUCUUCCUAUGUUUUUCAAUUUUGUGUUCCUGUCAGUAGUUUUAUUUUUUAGAAAAUUCUAUGGGUUUCAAUUUCAGUGUACUCAAAGAUGUUGAAUUUAAGGUAUCCAAUGCUAAUUAUUGCAGAAUUAACAAUGA